rnacentral:rRNA from 1 species
GACGAACGCUGGCGGCGUGCUUAACACAUGCAAGUCGAACGAUGAAGAAGAGAAACGCGAACUUCGGUUCAAAUUUCACUUCGGAUUAGUGGCAGACGGGUGAGUAACGCGUGAGCAACCUACCUCUUACAAAGGGAUAGCCUCGGGAAACCGUGAUUAAUACCAUAUGACACAUUCAUAAGGCAUCUUAAGAAUGUUAAAGCUACGGCGGUAAGAGAUGGGCUCGCGUCCCAUUAGCUAGUUGGUGAGGUAACGGCCCACCGAGGCGACGAUGGGUAACCGGCCUGAGAGGGUGAACGGUCACAUUGGAACUGAGACACGGUCCAAACUCCUACGGGAGGCAGCAGUGGGGAAUAUUGCACAAUGGAGGGAACUCUGACGCAGCGACGCCGCGUGAGCGAUGAAGGAAUUCGUUUCGUAAAGCUCUGUUCUAUGGGAAGAAAAGGACUGUACCAUAGGAGAAAGCCCCGGCUAAAUACGUG